rnacentral:lncRNA from 1 species
GUUCUCUACCUAUAGACAGCAGGCAUGAGAGUUCCCUGAUAGGCAAUUUAUGGCUUCCUCAGCCUUCCAUGCCUUAUCACAGGCCUUUGAUCCCAGCGCUUGGGAGGUAGGUGCAGGAGAAUCUCUGUUAGUUCAAAGCUAAUAUGGUUGACAUAGUUAGUUCUGAUUCUUGAUUCCUGAUUUCUCUUCACUCUUUACCUAACUCCACCCCUUUGGAAUCCACACACAAAUUUGCUCCAUGAGACUCAAUCAGGGUAAAGUUUAUACUGUGAUGCUAGGACCUGACACUUUCUUUUCUUUCUUUUCUUUUCUUUUUUUUUUUUUCAAGACAGGGUUUCUCUGUAUAGUCUUGGCUGUCCUGGAACUCACUUUGUAGACCAGGCUGGUCUCGAACUCAGAAAUCCGCCUAUCUCUGCCUCCCAAGUGCUGGGAUUAAAGGCGUGCGCCACCACCGCCCGGCGACCUGACACUUUCAAUGCUUUGAACCCAAAUAAAUUGUUUCUGGAUGAAGU